rnacentral:misc_RNA from 1 species
GACAAGGUGCUUGACAUGAUAAUAGAAGAGCACAAGCACGAGUAUGAUGAUGAAGAGUCAUCAAGGAAAACUGAUUUGGUUAAUUUGCUAUUAAUGCUCCAAGAAAGUGGCACUCUUGAUUUUUCCUUCACUAGAGACAAUAUCAAAGCAGUCAUACUGGACAUGUUUUUAGCAGGAACUGAAACUUCAGCAACCGUUCUCGAUUGGGC